rnacentral:tRNA from 1 species
CGGGGCGUGGCGCAGCCUGGUAGCGCACCUGCUUUGGGAGCAGGGGGUCCCGAGUUCAAAUCUCGGCGCCCCGACCA